rnacentral:rRNA from 1 species
GAUGAACGCUGGCGGCGUGCCUAAUACAUGCAAGUCGAGCGAACAGACGAGGCGCUUGCUCCUCUGACGUUAGCGGCGGACGGGUGAGUAACACGUGGAUAACCUACCUAUAAGACUGGGAUAACUUCGGGAAACCGGCGCUGAUACCGGAUAAUAUAUUGAACCGCAUGGUUCAAUAGUGAAAGACGGUUUUGCUGUCACUUAUAGAUGGAUCCGCGCCGCAUUAGCUAGUUGGUAAGGUAACGGCAUACCAAGGCAACGAUGCGUAGCCGACCUGAGAGGGUGAUCGGCCACACUGGAACUGAGACAGGGUCCAGACUCCUAAGGGAGGCAGCAGUAGGGAAUCUUACGCAAUGGGCGAAAGCGUGACGGAGCAACGCCGCGUGAGUGAUGAAGGUCUUCGGAUCGUAAAGCUCUGUUAUUAGGGAAGAACAAAUGUGUAAGUAGCUAUGCACGUCUUGACGGUACCUAAUCAGAAAGCCACGGCUAACUACGUG